rnacentral:rRNA from 1 species
AGAGUUUGAUCAUGGCUCAGGAUGAACGCUGGCGGCGUGCUUAACACAUGCAAGUCGAGCGAUGAAGUUUCCUUCGGGAAACGGAUUAGCGGCGGACGGGUGAGUAACACGUGGGUAACCUGCCUCAUAGAGUGGAAUAGCCUUCCGAAAGGAAGAUUAAUACCGCAUAACGUUGAAAGAUGGCAUCAUCAUUCAACCAAAGGAGCAAUCCGCUAUGAGAUGGACCCGCGGCGCAUUAGCUAGUUGGUGGGGUAACGGCCUACCAAGGCGACGAUGCGUAGCCGACCUGAGAGGGUGAUCGGCCACAUUGGGACUGAGACACGGCCCAGACUCCUACGGGAGGCAGCAGUGGGGAAUAUUGCACAAUGGGGGAAACCCUGAUGCAGCAACGCCGCGUGAGUGAUGAAGGUUUUCGGAUCGUAAAGCUCUGUCUUUGGGGAAGAUAAUGACGGUACCCAAGGAGGAAGCCACGGCUAACUACGUGCCAGCAGCCGCGGUAAUACGCAGGUGGCGAGCGUUAUCCGGAUUUACUGGGCGUAAAGGGAGCGUAGGCGGAUGAUUAAGUGGGAUGUGAAAUACCCGGGCUCAACUUGGGUGCUGCAUUCCAAACUGGUUAUCUAGAGUGCAGGAGAGGAGAGUGGAAUUCCUAGUGUAGCGGUGAAAUGCGUAGAGAUUAGGAAGAACACCAGUGGCGAAGGCGACUCUCUGGACUGUAACUGACGCUGAGGCUCGAAAGC